CAAAACAAAGCAAAAAAAAAAGGAUAAUGACAAUCAGUUUUAAUUUUCAGGACUGUUUUUCUAUAUUUAAAUCCGAAAGCGAUAGAGUUAAAAAUGACGUCUCUUAUCCACUCCUAAAGCCUGCUGAUGUUUCUCUAGAUAUGUACUGUGUAAGGAAAAAUGAAGAGCAAAGUAAGAAGUCAAAGCAAGUCCUGUGUUCAAAUCCUAGCAUACCUACUAUCUGAAUUUGUCGUCAUCGAACAAUUGCAAUUCAAUACUGGGAGGACUUCCAGAAGGAUUUCAUCAAAUAACAAGCGUGUUAUUCAGAGAUCCAUAAUGAUAUGUUCAGACCCAAGUACAGACACUUCUUUGGAAUGAUUAUAGCAGAAGAGAAAUUCAAAACAAACAGCUCCGUACCUGAAAAGGUACAACAAGGAGGGAUGAAGAAAGAUCACUGACCAGAAAUAAAAUUGGGAGUUUAGACAAUUAAAUUAUCUGGACAUUUUAAUUCCUGAACUACGACUAGGCUACAACAUGCGGACUGCUGUAGAUGUCACCCAGGAACAGAAAAUAACUAGCCUCGUGAGAAAGUUUUGAAUGGGCAAAAGGGAAAUUGAAUACAAUUGUUUUUUGCUUGCACCAUAUAGAGGCGUAUUCUUUCUAUGUACAGUGAUAGGAAACUGGUGGUGUUUGACAUCAUCCAAAAACAGGGCCCAUUUUUUGAAUCAUAAAUUAUCUUCAUGAACACACCCAUUGCCUUCAACAUACAGCCUAAGUCUCAUACUUUCUAAAAUAUCUCCGGUACCUGCUCCAGUUCUCAGUGAUCACCAAUUCCUUUGUCCUCCAAUAACAUAAAUUUCUUUUCUACCUUGUACUUAGAAUUCUGUUCAAACUAUCUUGUUGUAUUCAAAAUAAUUUUAACGAGCUAUAGUUGACAUAACAUAUUUAGUUAUCUAUCUAUGUAUCUGUCAUCUAUCAAUCAUCUGAUGAGAAUUUAUCAUUACACUCAAGAUAAUGAGCUCAGACAUGAUUCCCAAAUAUUUUCUCAUCAGGCUUUGUAAUUCUUCCCUCUCAACACUCCCCAGCAUCCCCCAAACCCAAUAAACCACUAAUCUGCUUUCAGUCACUAUAGAUUCAUUUAUAUUUUCUGAAAUUUUAUAUACAAUGGAAUCAUUCACUAUGAACUCUUUUUCAUCUGACGUCUUAUAUUCAGCAUAAUUAUUUUCAUAUGUUUCCGUGUUGCAGAGUAUAAUUUCGUUACAUAGAUAUUCUAUCUUAUUUAUCAAUUUACAUUUUUGUAAAGAUUGUGAAAUAAAAAUAAAAUCCUAAGCCCUGCAACUGACUGAGCAGACACCUGUUGCCCAAGAAGACUCCAGAAAAACUUUGAAAAAUUGAGUUUCCUGGUCAUGACAAGGUGGGAGGUUGAGUACCUCUUGGUGUACCUCAUUCCUUGCCAAUCUUUACUAGAUUAUUUUCUAAGGGUUAAACAGAAACUGGCCCUGGAAAAAUAAAGAAAUGAAAACUCACUCCUUUGCUGAUUUCAGCCAACUGCUGGACACUGCAGCUGGAAUCCUCUCCCUUCUUGUAGUUUCUACACAGCAGCUCACCAGUUUCAUAGCACAUUCCUUUCUGAUUUUUUACUACCAGCCAUGGACUGGUUCUGGCCAGAUACAGAGGCUGCCCACAAGAUGUCUGUCAUCUUUUAAUGUAUACAGCCUAAUUUUAAUACAUUUAAAUGUUAAUUCUCCAUCCUAAAGUGAACAUGUGACAUAUGUAAUAUGUAUGUUUGCUUACUAGCAUAUGUGUGUCCCUUGUGAAUAUUCAUAACUCUUUUUAUAACUUGUUGAUAUGUAUACUUAGCCAUCCUGUCCAGUAUAAAUUCCUGUCUCAUCCUUCUUCCAUUGAAGUACCUGCUUUUGAUUUCUGCUGGAGGCUAUGCUUCCCAGUCUGCAGGGUGGCCAGCCUGCAGGCGGAAACCCUUUAUAAGAAACAAAGCUCUCCUCU
rnacentral:lncRNA from 1 species